UACAGAGGUCCCAAGCGUUGUUCGGAUUCACUGGGCGUAAAGGGUGCGUAGGUGGUGGGGUAAGUUUGAUGUGAAAGCUCCGGGCGUUAACCCGGAAAUGGCAUUGAAUACUAUCUCGCUUGAGGGUUGGAGGGGAGACUGGAAUUCUUGGUGUAGCAGUGAAAUGCGUAGAUAUCAAGAGGAACACCAGUGGCGAAGGCGAGUCUCUGGAGCAACUCCUGACACUGAGGCACGAAAGCUAGGGGGAGCAAACGGG
rnacentral:rRNA from 1 species